rnacentral:rRNA from 1 species
UACGAAGGGGGCUAGCGUUGCUCGGAAUUACUGGGCGUAAAGCGCACGUAGGCGGCUCUUUAAGUCGGGGGUGAAAUCCUGGAGCUCAACUCCAGAACUGCCUUCGAUACUGUAGAGCUUGAGUUCGGGAGAGGUGAGUGGAACUGCGAGUGUAGAGGUGAAAUUCGUAGAUAUUCGCAAGAACACCAGUGGCGAAGGCGGCUCACUGGCCCGAUACUGACGCUGAGGUGCGAAAGCUAGGGGAGCAAACGGG